ensembl:lncRNA ZNF542P zinc finger protein 542, pseudogene
AAAGCCACGCCCCCACGGCCGAACUCACGCCUACGUACUCAGUCACCAGCGGAACCCUCUCCACCAGGCUCCGCGUCGAGGCCCUACGGGGCGUCAAUACGCACGCGUACUUUGUGUCCCAGGUACUCUGCAUUUCCAGGACCUGGUCACUAUUCAGGACACGGUUCCAGCGCAGUGCGCGUUAGCCAUGUCUCAGCUCCAGACUGAGAGGACGCAGCAUAGAAAAUGCUUAUGAGUGGUUCAGACUCAGUAAUGGGAUGAGUGACAUUCCAAGAUGUGGCCAUUGACUUCUCCAAGGAAGAGUGGGGAUUCCUGAACCCUGCUCAGAGAGAUUUGUACACAACUGUGAUGCUGGAGAAUUAUCAGAACCUGGUCUGGCUGGGACUUUCCAUUUCUAAAUCUGUGAUUUCACUGUUGGAGAAAAGGAAACUGCCUUGGAUAAUGGCAAAAGAAGAGAUAAGAGGCCCAUUGCCAGGAUAUUUCAAGGUGUCAGAGAUGACCAUCUCCCAGGAGCCAAAGGCAAAGACUAGAACUCUCUUUGGAAAAGAUGUGCCAGGUGCAGAGAUUAAGGAGUUAUCUGCAAAGAGGGCUAUUAAUGAAGUAUUAUCGCAGUUUGACACAGUGAUAAAAUGUACAAGAAACGUAUGUAAGGAAUGUGGAAAUCUAUACUGCCACAAUAUGCAGCUUACUCUCCAUAAGAGAAAUCAUACACAAAAGAAAUGCAAUCAGUGUUUAGAUUGUGGGAAAUACUUCACUCGUCAAUCAACUCUCAUUCAGCAUCAAAGAAUCCACACGGGAGAGAGACCCUAUAAAUGUAACGAAUGUAUUAAAACCUUCAACCAGAGGGCACACCUUACCUAGCAUGAGAGAAUUCACACUGGUGAGAAACCUUACAAAUGUAAGGAAUGCAGGAAAACCUUCAGCCAGAUGACUCAUCUCACACAGCAUCAGACUACACAUACGAGAGAAAAGUUCCAUGAAUGCAGUGAAUGUGGAAAGGCCUUCAGCCGUGUCUCAGCUCUUAUAGAUCACCAGCGAAUUCAUAGUGGAGAAAAGCCGUAUGAAUGUAAGGAGUGUGGAAGAGCCUUCACUCAAAGUGCCCAGCUCAUUAGACAUCAGAAAACUCAUUCUGGAGAAAAACCCUAUGAGUGUAGUAAGUGUAAGAAAUCUUUUGUGCACCUGUCUUCCCUGAUUGAACAUUGGAGAAUUCACACUGGAGAAAAACCAUAUCAAUGUAAGGACUGCAAAAAGACCUUUUGUCGUGUGAUGCAGUUCACUCUGCACAGGAGAAUUCAUACUGGUGAAAAACCCUAUGAAUGCAAGGAAUGUGGAAAGUCCUUCAGCGCCCAUUCUUCUCUUGUUACUCAUAAGAGAACACACAGUGGAGAAAAACCGUAUAAAUGCAAGGAAUGUGGAAAAGCCUUCAGUGCGCACUCUUCCCUUGUUACUCAUAAGAGAACACACAGUGGAGAGAAACCCUAUACAUGCCAUGCCUGUGGGAAGGCCUUUAAUACUUCCUCCACACUUUGUCAACAUAAUAGAAUUCAUACUGGUGAAAAACCCUUUCAGUGCAGUCAAUGCGGGAAGUCCUUUAGCUGCAGCUCUCACCUUACUCGACACUGUAGAAUGUGUAAUGGAAAAUUUAGCAAAUAACCAAAACUCAAAAUGUUAAUUCUGAUUAUUCUGUAUCAUCACCAGUACUUUGUACUUUGAGUCUUUUUAAAUAUGCUCUGUUAGUUUGUAUGGAAUGAUAUUUCAUUGCACUUUUAAUUUAACUUAAAAAUGCCUUCCCUUGACUGUUGAUAUGUAUUUUUUGUGAAGUGUGUGUUGAAGCCUUGCAGAUUAUUUUUUAAAUUAGAGGUUUAUCACUAGGUAUAUCUCCUAAUGCUAUCCCUCCCCCCUCCCCCUAAUGUAAAUGACGAGUUAAUGGUGCAGCACACCAACAUGGCACAUGUAUACAUAUGUAACAAACCUGCACGUUGUGCACAUGGUACCCUAAAACUUAAAGUAUAAUUAAAAAAAAAAAUUAGAGGUUUUUCUUCGGGUGCAUUUAUGAGAGUUCACCAGAUUUUGGAAAUAUUUUCUAUUCUGUAACCUACCUUUUCAUUUACAUAACAGUGAUAAAAGCUUUAAGUUUGAUCACAUCCAAUUAAUCACAUUUUUUAAUAGUUAUGCUUUUAUUUGUUUUUCAGACAGGGUCUUACUCUGUCACCCAGGCUGGAGUGCAGUGGCACAAUCAUGGCUCACUGCAGUCUCUGCCUCCCAGGCUCAAGUGAUCCUCCCACCUCAGCCUCUCAAGUAGCUGGGACUACAGGCAUGUGCCACCACACCUAAUUUCUAUAUUUUUUGUAGAGACUAGGUUUCACCAUGUUGUCCAGGCUUGUCUUGACCUCCUGAGCUCAAGCAGUCCAUCUGCCUCAGCCUCCCAAAGUGCUGGGACUACAGACAUGAGCCAUUGUGCCUGACCUAGUUCUGCUUUUUAUGUUCUAAGAAGUAUUAUUUAUUCUAUGCUGAGCUUACAUAGAAUUUCUUCCAUGUUUUCUAUAGCUAUAGUGUAUUUUUACCUUUUACUGUUAGAUCUAUUUCAUGUUUUUAUUAUGGAUAAUGGAGGAGGUAAAGGUUGAAUUAUAUUUUCCCCCAUAUUAUUGACCCAUAGUGACACCAGUUUUGGGAGAUGUCUUUCAUUUUCGCCCUUACGUUGUUAUUGGCACCUUUUGCAAAAAUCAAUUAUUUAUCAUGAGUAUACUUCUGAAAUGAUCUGUUUCAUCAAUCUAUUUGUCUUCUCAGUAGUUCCACAUUGUCUUAAUUAUAGCUUUAGAGGAAGUCUUGAAAUUUGGUAGUAAGUCUUCCAGUUUUGUUAUUUUAACAAAUUUCUCUAGGCUGGGCAUGGUGGCUCAUGCCUAUAAUCCCAGCACUUUAGGAGCCCCAGACAGGAGGAUCACUUAAGCGCAGAAGAUCAAGACCAGCCUGGGAAAUAUAGCAAGACCUUAUCUCUACAAAAAAAUUUAGAAAUUAGCUGGGCAUGGUGGCACCCAUCUGUAGUCCUAACUGCUCAGGAGGCUGAGGUGGGAGGAUUGCUUGAGUCCAGGAGUUCAAGGCUGCAGUGAGUUGUGAUCACACCAUUGCAGUCCAGCCAGGUUGACAGAAUGAGACCCUGUCUCUUAAAAAAAAAAAAAAAAAUCCUGGUGAUGCUUUUCUGGAUUAAAAAA